GGGACCUACUGUCCUCCCCCCCAGGCCCCCACCCCUGAGUUCAGGGGUGGGGGCCUGGGGUGAGGACAGUAGAUCCCCCCAUUAUUAUUAUGGCCCCAAUCUGCCGCCCAUGGGUGGGGGCCUGGGGGGAGGACAGUAGGUCC